rnacentral:rRNA from 1 species
UACGUAGGGCGCAAGCGUUGUCCGGAAUUAUUGGGCGUAAAGAGCUCGUAGGCGGUUUGUCGCGUCUGCUGUGAAAACUCGAGGCUCAACCUCGGGCUUGCAGUGGGUACGGGCAGACUAGAGUGCGGUAGGGGUGACUGGAAUUCCUGGUGUAGCGGUGGAAUGCGCAGAUAUCAGGAGGAACACCGAUGGCGAAGGCAGGUCACUGGGCCGCAACUGACGCUGAGGAGCGAAGGCAUGGGGAGCGAACAGG